UCCCAAGCGUUUUAUGCCACUUGUCCAGUGUUUUCCCAGGCAGUGACUGAGCCCUUGAGGCGCUCCCGUGCCCUGCCAAGCAGGAAUCUGCUCCUGCUGCCAGCAGCUCUGCAGCAUUACGUGUCAUUCCUUGUUUACUGUCCUCCUCGCUGAUGACACACUCAGGCAGGGACCUGUUUGUUGUCACCGUGACACCCACGUCGGUAAACAAGGCGAGUUUACCCAGCCCUCAAUCAGGGAGCUGUCGAUGGCAGGGCCCUGCUUCCAACAGCACCACAGGAUGCUGAGUUCUGCCUUCCAAAUCCAAUCCCCUCGAGGUCUGACUUCCAAAUCCAAUCCCCUCGGUGUCCCUCACCCAGCCAGAGGACGAGGGGCUGCUCUUGCAUCACCAAAAAUCAGCAAGCUCUGCAUCAGGCUCUGCAGGAGAAGUUUGCAAUCCGGCCCGGGCUCCUGAAGGUUUUGUUUCCUUUUACUGCCAUGUGAAUAUUUUUUCUCCUCUGGGGCUCCCUGGCUGCCUGAUCUUUAGCGGGAACAAAGCCACGGGACAGGUUUCAGAGUAAACAGCAGCCACCACGAGACUCGUGACACAAUUGCAAAAGCUGUGGCCACCCUGCCACCCUGGGAGAUGUGACCUUGCUGCCCUGCAAAGUGAGAGGCCAUGAAGAAAACCUCAACAGAUUUCUCCUGGAGAGUCACUGCAGCAUCGUGGCCUGGCUUCCCAGUGGUUUGGAAGGAGCUGGAGGCCCCACAUGGGAUUUGUGAAUGCUGGCAUUGAUGGCACAGCUUUUCCAUCCCCUCCCCGGCCCCUCCGCUCCGGGCGGGAGAAGCUCAGAAGCUUCUGGGUCUCUGGAGAACUCUGCGAGCAACACGACCGACACGUCUUUGGGAGCCUUUCGAAACAACAGAACUCAGAGCUGCUAAACCAGUUUGGUGGCGACACCCCUGCACACGGGGAGCAGGAGCAGGGACACCAGGAGAGGCAGCUGGAAGCAGAGCAGCACAUCCCACCGGGGCACAACAUCCCAGCUCCACCCCGGGGGCUCCAGGCAUCCCCAGGAAUCCCCCCCAGCACAGGGAGCAGUCCCACUCCUGGGAUCUGGGCUGAGCCCAGGUCUGACACUGGCGUGAGGGGCAGGAUAAGCUCAGCUCCAGGUGUAAACCAAAGGAAAAAAGCAAAAUGUUGCUUUUCCAGAGGGAAAAGCUUGGAGUGCUGCCCCCAGGCUUUUCAGAGCUUGGAUUUUUGGUGUUUGCUUUAAUGGGGUGGUUGGUGUUUCCCCAUGGGAUCCAUGAAUGUGGGUGCUUGGGAUCUCUGUGCCAAACCCUGCCCCAAAUCAGUGGCCAAUUUUGAGAGUUGAUGGCUGUGAUGUGGAGCAGCCUCUGUGAGGGUCACCUGGGUCUGAGAGCAGAGCCCAGAGCGGGUCUGGGUGGCACCAGCCUGAAACUGUCCCUGAUUUUAUCCCAUUUUAGUGCUUUGACCAGAGUGCCAAUGACCACAGCAGGGGGCACAAAGCAGGAGCCAGGCACACCUCGGGCUCCCAGAAGUUCCUGGCAGCUCAGAGGGAAGCUGUUCAUGACAAAAGGGCUUUUUCUGAAGCUCUCUCUGCUGGCUGGGUCCUGCAGGAGGAUGGGAUUUGCACCCACCCCGAUGCUCUCCUGGCAGUGCUUUGGUCAGCAGGGCUCACCUGGUGGUGGCUGGGCCACAUGGCCACCUUGGUGGCUCCUGGGCGUCCUCCUGGGUGCUCUUUCCCCUGGGACAGCAAAAUGCCCACAUUGGGGGAUUUUUGGGCACGGAGUGAACCAGCCCAAGCUGGGCAUGGCAGUGUGGCCAAUGGCCCUGCCUGAGCUGUGCCUACUAAAGCUUAGCUCAGCCCUCUCUGUCAUUUUUGGGGGGAGAUUUUGCCUAAGAAAUGAAUGACCAACCCCCUGAAUGAACGACCAACACCUCAACACCUCAGCCUAGCCACAGCUUGGAAGAAAAAAAGAAAUCCAGGCAAAAUCUUUGACCCAAGCAGGGCGCAGCCCCCGCAGCGCCCAGGGGCUCAGCAACUCAUUUUUUGUCUGCCUCCAGCCUCCCCUUUGGGCUGCAGCCCCUGUGACACCCCCAGGGUUGCCAUGAGGGGCAGCCUGUCCCCUGUCCCCUGUCCCCAGGGGUGGUGGCAGCCCUGCUGCUGGCGGAACGGGGGCAGCGCCGCCGGGCCCCCGAGCACGGAGCGAAGAGAAGCCUUUUUGUUCACAUGUGUUGGCUCAGCUCAAAUAACUCAUCAGGGACCCGGGCUGCAGGCUGGAACGGGAAGAAACUCUCUCCAGAUGAAAGGAUGUCAGAAAAUUGUAUUUAGUCAACUGCGUGUGUGUGUUAGAAAGGGGCGGAGGGAGGAAGGGGCCGCGGAGGCUGUUACUGUGACUGACUUUCUGACUUCUUAACUUGUCAGCAUAUCCUAAAGUUAAAAAUGCACAUGCACACAGGCCUGCAGCCAAAGAGGCUGUCUAGCCGCAAAUCCAGAUGUGGGGGCCACUGCGCUCCCGCCAGCCCCGCUCUCCCUGAACCGACUUUCAGACUAAACAAUUGUGACUUGGCUGUGAGAGCAGCGCAAUUCC